GUGCCAGCAGCCGCGGUAAGACAGAGGUUGCAAACGUUGUUCGGAAUCACUGGGCAUAAAGCGCACGUAGGCGGUCCACUAAGUCAGGUGUGAAAGCCCCCGGCUCAACCGGGGAAUAGCAUUUGAUACUGGUGGACUCGAGAGUGGUAGGGGUGAGUGGAACUCCAGGUGGAGCGGUGAAAUGCGUAGAUAUCUGGAGGAACACCGGUGGCGAAAGCGGCUCACUGGACCACAACUGACGCUGAGGUGCGAAAGCUAGGGUAGCAAACGGGAUUAGAAACCCCAGUAGUCC
rnacentral:rRNA from 1 species